AGGGUUUGAUUCUGGCUCAGGAUGAACGCUGGCGGCGUGCCUAACACAUGCAAGUCGAGCGAUUCUCUUCGGAGAAGAGCGGCGGACGGGUGAGUAACGCGUGGGUAACCUGCCCUGUACACACGGAUAACAUACCGAAAGGUAUGCUAAUACGAGAUAAUAUGCUUUUAUCGCAUGAUAGAAGUAUCAAAGCUUUUGCGGUACAGGAUGGACCCGCGUCUGAUUAGCUAGUUGGUAAGGUAACGGCUUACCAAGGCGACGAUCAGUAGCCGACCUGAGAGGGUGAUCGGCCACAUUGGAACUGAGACACGGUCCAA
rnacentral:rRNA from 1 species